AUGAGUUAGGGUCUUCUAGGCCCGAUCUCCAACCCUUUGUAUAAUUACCAUGUUGCUUUGGCGGGCCCGUCUUUAACCGGACCGUCGGGGGUUUUUAGCCCCUGGCCAGUGCUCGUCAGUAGCCCACAAUAAACUCUUUUAACCAUGUUAAAUCUGAAAUUAGUUAAAUAAACUA
rnacentral:misc_RNA from 1 species